AGCUUUAGUUGCCUUUAGCAUGCUUAAUUAUCUCUCUGUACUCUUUAGUGCUAAUGUUGUUUUCCCGGGCAGCUAUAUUGUUAACACCAGGCAGAGUGCAGUUAGAUAGUGAAUCAGUAAACUCAGGCAGCCUGACUUUCACCUUUAGACUAUAGUCCCUGGGAGAAGCUGACCAGGAAACACAUGCCACGUUUGAUUAAAGGAGACUAUUGAUGGCCUUAGGUGUUGUUCUGUCAACCAUCUGUUUAGAAUUUUAUGGAACGUACAGAGAUUUCAUUAUACAGAUUCAAACUUUGCUAGUUGUCCUCAAGCUCAAGGAGGAGGAAAUCUCUUUUUGAGCAUCUUUGUAAUGUUGACUGCACAGAUAUUGUUCAGGUUUGCCUAGUUCUUCCAAUAUGUCUGUGGUGUGCCUCAUGAAACUCAGUUUUACCUGUCAAGAGCAGUGGACAAUGGGUAUCACUGAUUGCUUGGCUGUUGGGGAUGAGUUGGUUUUAUGAAUUGCAUCUUAUUGUAUUCUACAUGUUAGAGAUCAAUCACCGCAAUUGCUUUUCACUGGGUCUGUACAUCCAUCAUAUUCGUGCUGCUUCUGCUACUGAAGCUGAUGAGCAUUCUUAACGUUUUUGGUGGUGAUUCAUGGUUAGGAUUUUACUAUGGCACCAUGUACAGAGGAACUGACCAUUCCUUUUCUCAUAAAAAUUUAGUGCUCAUUCAACUGCAGGUAGCUGAAGACCGCGGCAAAAUCAGAAAAUAUGCCUAAGAAAUUCCCUGCUUGCAAGAUAAGGAUACCAAGGUUCACAUUUGAUUCUUUGCCGUUGGUCAUCGUCCUUUACAUCAUCCCUAAUUUCAUGUAAUGAACCAUUCGCAGAAAGCUUGAUAGCGAACCUCCUCAACAAAAUGUAUUAGAUGGAGAUGUAAGGGCGGUAUAAGAUAAAUUUGAGAAUCUGUCAUGAAGCUGUUGAUAGAUAUUCGAUUGCUGAAGUUCUCCGUUAUUGUAGGUCAAUUUUGUUGGUCGUGACUUACUGCCUUUUUAUGUUAAAUUUGGACCGGGCACCUUGGGAUAUUGAGGAUUAUUGGUCUUGCCAACCAUUUGGCUGGAAGUUAAGUGGGAGAAAAUACUUUUGCUUAUAUAUGCAUGGACAAUUUCAUUCAUUGUG